rnacentral:lncRNA from 1 species
UAUGAAAAUCAAAAAUAAAAUAUAUUGAUAUCAAAAUAUGUUGUUUAAAAAAAAUUACAAUGAAAAAAGGAAAUAAAAAAAUGACUUUUUUAUAGACAAAAAUGGGUUAAAGUUAGGAAAAAUAAAACAAAUAUUGAAAAUAACGCAGAGCUAGUUUUGUUAGCAACAUGAAACUUAUUAGAUGGAUACAUGGCAAAAGAGCUAUGUUUUCUUUGAACAUUAUAGGAUGGGUUGAAGCACUCCAAAUGCAUGACUUUGAAUUAAAAUGGCAUAUAC